GCACAUCUCAUUGUCUCUGGGCUGUGACUUAUUGUGUGUGCCUACAGAGCCCUUCCAGAACUCGCAACGUUGGAGAUAGAGAGGAAGGGAGAAGGAGAGAGUGGGUAGAAACAUCAAUAAUGAGAGAGAAUCCCUGCACACCCCCUACUGGGGAUUGAGCCCACAACCCGGGCAUGUGCCCCAACCAGGAAUCAAACCGUGACCUUCUGGUUCAUGGCUCAAUGCUCAACCACUGAAUCACACCGGCCAGGCUCGACCACCCUGUAAGUGGAAUCCAUCUCAAACUGUUACAGUUCUCGCACCUCCUAAAUAAUCAUUACGUGCAUAGUAGGUACAUAAGAAAUGCCUAUAGAACUGAUUGUGCUUAGGUUUGUAAUCGCUGCAAAGGAUCCAAUGGACAAAUCUGUACGUGGGCGUGCUGUCUAUUGUCUAGUCUUCAGCAGCAUCCAGAAAAACCAAUCAUAGUUUAGGCCCCAAGUGGCCUCAUGUAUUUUGCACCAUGAUGGCCUGUCUCCCUCUUUAGGGCACAGGAUCUCAGGCCCUCAGUGACAGCUUCCAUUUGCUUUCAGGGCUUCACCCCACCUUGCUGGGCACAGGUCAUGGCUUUGGAGAGUGUUUUGAAGUCAAGUCCCAUUUUCUUGGUGUCGCCGACUGCAGAGAAAAGGCAUUUCAUGCAUGAAGCAUGCAGAAUCUUAAUAAUCCCAAUAAUCCUGGUCCAAAGAAACCAGCAUGAAUUUGCAGCUGGUCACAGCAUCCCAACCCAUGAGAAAUAAAUGAGGAACCAUCUUCAAGUUCCAGGGGAACAUGCUCCCAUGUUCAAUCCAAAACACAUUUACUGAGUGUAUGGUGUAAGGAAGGGUCCUUCAUGAAAGGAGUGUGCAGCCUUGCCUGACAGCCCAGUUCCACAAUCAUUUAUUGAGUGAUUACUGAAGACCAGGCACCGUGCUCAGUUG